GACGAACGCUGGCGGCGUGCUUAACACAUGCAAGUCGAACGGAAAGGCCCUGCUUUUGUGGGGUGCUCGAGUGGCGAACGGGUGAGUAACACGUGAGUAACCUGCCCUUGACUUUGGGAUAACUUCAGGAAACUGGGGCUAAUACCGGAUAGGAGCUCCUGCUGCAUGGUGGGGGUUGGAAAGUUUCGGCGGUUGGGGAUGGACUCGCGGCUUAUCAGCUUGUUGGUGGGGUAGUGGCUUACCAAGGCUUUGACGGGUAGCCGGCCUGAGAGGGUGACCGGCCACAUUGGGACUGAGAUACGGCCCAGACUCCUACGGGAGGCAGCAGUGGGGAAUAUUGCACAAUGGGCGGAAGCCUGAUGCAGCAACGCCGCGUGCGGGAUGACGGCCUUCGGGUUGUAAACCGCUUUCGCCUGUGACGAAGCGUGAGUGACGGUAAUGGGUAAAGAAGCACCGGCUAACUACGUGCCAGCAGCCGCGGUGAUACGUAGGGUGCGAGCGUUGUCCGGAUUUAUUGGGCGUAAAGGGCUCGUAGGUGGUUGAUCGCGUCGGAAGUGUAAUCUUGGGGCUUAACCCUGAGCGUGCUUUCGAUACGGGUUGACUUGAGGAAGGUAGGGGAGAAUGGAAUUCCUGGUGGAGCGGUGGAAUGCGCAGAUAUCAGGAGGAACACCAGUGGCGAAGGCGGUUCUCUGGGCCUUUCCUGACGCUGAGGAGCGAAAGCGUGGGGAGCGAACAGGCUUAGAUACCCUGGUAGUCCACGCUGUAAACGGUGGGUACUAGGUGUGGGGUCCAUUCCACGGGUUCCGUGCCGUAGCUAACGCUUUAAGUACCCCGCCUGGGGAGUACGGCCGCAAGGCUAAAACUCAAAGGAAUUGACGGGGCCCCGCACAAGCGGCGGAGCAUGCGGAUUAAUUCGAUGCAACGCGUAGAACCUUACCCGGGUUUGACAUGGAUCGGGAGCGCUCAGAGAUGGGUGUGCCUCUUUUGGGGUCGGUUCACAGGUGGUGCAUGGCUGUCGUCAGCUCGUGUCGUGAGAUGUUGGGUUAAGUCCCGCAACGAGCGCAACCCUUGUUCACUGUUGCCAGCACGUUAUGGUGGGGACUCAGUGGAGACCGCCGGGGUCAACUCGGAGGAAGGUGGGGAUGACGUCAAGUCAUCAUGCCCCUUAUGUCCAGGGCUUCACGCAUGCUACAAUGGCUGGUACAGAGAGUGGCGAGCCUGUGAGGGUGAGCGAAUCUCGGAAAGCCGGUCUCAGUUCGGAUUGGGGUCUGCAACUCGACCUCAUGAAGUCGGAGUCGCUAGUAAUCGCAGAUCAGCAACGCUGCGGUGAAUACGUUCCCGGGGCU
rnacentral:rRNA from 1 species